rnacentral:rRNA from 1 species
GAUGAACGCUGGCGGCGUGCUUAACACAUGCAAGUCGAACGAAGUGGCGCACGGGUGAGUAACGCGUAAUCAACCUGCCCUUCAGAGGGGGAAAACAGUUGGAAACGACUGCUAAUACCGCAUACUGAAGGAGGGGAAUGCGUCUGAUUAGCUAGUUGGGGGGGUAACGGCCCACGAAGGGCAUGAUCAGGAGCCCGUCUUGGAGGAUGAACGGCCAAAAUUGGAACGGGACACGGCCCAGAACCCUACGGGAGGCAGCAGUGGGGAAUCUUCCGCAAUGGACGAAAGGCUGACGGAGCAACGCCGCGUGAGUGAUGACAGGCUUCGGGUUGUAAAGCUCUGUUAAUCGGGACGCGGUACCGGAAUAGAAAGCCACGGCUAACUACGUGCCAGCAGCCGCGGUAAUUC